AUUGAACGCUGGCGGCAGGCCUAACACAUGCAAGUCGAACGAGUGGCGGACGGGUGAGUAAUGUCUGGGCAACUUCCCGAUGGGGGGGGAUCACUACUGGAAACGGUCGCUAAUACCGCAUACCCUCGGAUGUGCCCAGAUGGGAUGAGCUAGUAGGUGGGGUAACGGCUCACCUGGGCGACGAUCCCUAGCUGGUCUGAGAGGAUGACCAGCCCAACUGGAACUGCGAAACGGGCCGGACUCCUACGGGAGGCAGCAGGGGGGAUUAUUGCAAAAGGGGGGCAAGCCUGAGGCAGCAAUGCCGCGUGUAUGAAGAAGGCCUUCGGGUUGUAAAGUACUUUCAGCGAGGAGGCGUUACUCGCAGAGGAAGCACCGGCUAACUACGUGCCAGCAGCCGCGGUAAUAC
rnacentral:rRNA from 1 species